rnacentral:rRNA from 1 species
AGUGAACGCUGGCGGUAGGCCUAACACAUGCAAGCCGAACGGCAGCACAGUAAGAGCUUGCUCUUACGGGUGGCGAGUGGCGGACGGGUGAGGAAUACAUCGGAAUCUACUUUUUCGUGGGGGAUAACGUAGGGAAACUUACGCUAAUACCGCAUACGACCUACGGGUGAAAGCAGGGGAUCUUCGGACCUUGCGCGAUUGGAUGAGCCGAUGUCGGAUUAGCUAGUUGGCGGGGUAAUGGCCCACCAAGGCGACGAUCCGUAGCUGGUCUGAGAGGAUGAUCAGCGACACUGGAGCUGAGACGCGGUCCUGAGUCCUGCGGGAGGCCGCAGUGGCGAAUAUUGGACAGUGGGCGCGAGCCUUGUCCAGCCAUCCCGCGUGGGUUGAGAAGGCCUUCGGGUUGUAAAGCCCUUUUUUUGGUAAAGAAACGCAGCAGGUUAAGACCCCGCUGUUCUGACGGUACCCAAAGAAUAAGCACCGGCUAACUUCGUG